rnacentral:ncRNA from 1 species
UACGAACAUAAUAAUUAGGGACAAAUUUUUAAUUUUACAACUCUAAAACAAUCUUAUCUUAUCUUUUAUCUUUGCUUGCAGCUUGAUUUCACACCGUAUUUUUUGGUACAGGUACGGAAUUUUCAGCAUGUGAUAUCAGUAGCCGAAAUUUUGCAGGCCGACCACAGAUAUCAGGUGUUCGUCGGCAGGGGAUCGAACCCCGGACCAUGUACAUGUUUGUCGAGAGUCCUAACCACUGUGCCACCAACGCAGUACACAUAACGGAAACUGGGAAAUUUUCUACCCUUUUAACCAAGUUUCCGAAGCUAACGGCAUCUUUACUUUGAACAAAUUUAAUUGCUCAAAACAGGUCUUUAUGCCUAUAAAUUCUUCCAAGAAACAUUGAAAUAGGACUUUGACUCUGUUUUGUUCGUUUCCGGAUCUGAAGUAAUGGUUAGUAAGGACAGACAAGAGCAUUUGCAUGGAGGUGUUAGAGUUAAAGUUCUGCAACCACUGGUAGACAAACUAUGAAGGAAGCAUUUCCUGAGAGUGUUUUUAUUAAUCAAGAGAGAAAGUUAGAGUUUCGAAGACGAUCAGAUACUUCAGUAUUUCUGACCAUAAACGAUGUCAAAUGACGAUCCACAAUGGUUCUUUAAUUGAAAUUGCGGUCAGUCCCUGGUAAACUUAUACGUCUUCAGGCUCCAGAGGGAGUAUGGCUGCAAAGCUGAAACUUCAGGCAGUCGACAGAAGGAUAAAACCAGAAGAAACACGGGAUUAUUU